GUCUUUUGAAUUGUUAGAGUGCUCCUACUUUGUUUUGGGUGCUAUGAUUCAACAUUCUUGAAUAGGAAGAUCUGAUGC